rnacentral:lncRNA from 1 species
GUCACUAUUAGGUCAUGGGGGCACCAGGCAGUGGUGUUUAUCCGGGGGCUGGUGUCACUUUUGGCAUGUCUCCUAAAUUCAAGCUGAUGAGGAAAAUUAUCAGAGAGAGGACAGAACGCCUCGCAAGCUGUGACAAAGCAAUCUCUUUCGUAAAUGAGAGGAGAGUAGAGGAGAAAGAAUGACUCCGGUAACCACAGACUGGAGUUUAGAUGCUCAGAGAGAAAGACAGACACCUCCCUGCCCUACCUCCCACUCCUCAGAACAGGUGGGAAGUCAUGCUCACCUGGGGGGACCUAGGGACAGUCCCUGAGAAAGCCACUGCCUGCAGCAGCGAAGGUGAUUCAUUCAACAUGGCAGUUCCCAUACUCAUCGCACAAGGCGUGGACGACACAAAGAGAUGGCUUGCCUGCAAGAGACCCAGCUGGUCCAGAGUCGGAGGCACAUUUCAUUUCUCUGGCCAGCUGGAGAGGCGGCCGGAGCAGACGAGGAGAUCGCCUCUAAUGUUCUAAAUGUCAAUAUGGUCCCUACUGGCUGACUCGCCAAGAUUUGAUCAGCAAAUUGGCCUGCGUGAUGUGUUCCCUGCAAUGCACGGUGUGUGUUUAAAUCUUUCAACAGUGUCAUGAAAGAAGCUGAAGAACAG